UACGGAAGGCAGCAGUGGGGAAUAUUGCACAAUGGACGAAAGCCUGAUGCAGCUAUGCCGCGUGUAUGAAGAAGGCCUUAGGGUUGUAAAGUACUUUCAUCGGGGAGGAAAAAACAAAACUAAUAAUUUUAUUUCUUGACGUUACCCGAAAAAGAAGCACCGGCUAACUCCGUGCCAGCAGCCGCGGUAAUACGGAGGGUGCUAGCGUUAAUCAGAAUUACUGGGCGUAAAGAGCACGUAGGUGGUUUUUUAAGUCAGAUGUGAAAUCCCUGGGCUUAACCUAGGAACUGCAUUUUGAAACUGAAAUACUAGAGUAUCGUAGAGGGAGGUAGAAUUCUAGGUGUAGCGGUGAAAUGCGUAGAUAUCUGGAGGAAUACCUGUGGCGAAAGCGGCCUCCUAAACGAAUACUGACACUGAGGUGCGAAAGCGUGGGGAGCAAACAGGGAUUAGAUACC
rnacentral:rRNA from 1 species